rnacentral:rRNA from 1 species
UACGUAGGGGGCAAGCGUUGUCCGGAAUCAUUGGGCGUAAAGCGCGUGUAGGCGGCUCGGUAAGUCCGCUCUGAAAGUCGGGGGCUCAACCCUCGGAUGCCGGUGGAUACUGUCGGGCUAGAGUGCGGAAGAGGCGAGUGGAAUUCCUGGUGUAGCGGUGAAAUGCGCAGAUAUCAGGAGGAACACCGGUGGCGAAGGCGGCUUUCUGGGGCUGUUCUGACGCUGAGGAGCGAAAGCUGGGGGAGCAAACAGG